GCGCGGUUCGCUUAUCCGGUAAAGCCCAGUCGGGAAGACUGAUAACCAGGUUCGAUUCCUGGACCACGCACCA
rnacentral:tRNA from 2 species